AGGAUAAACGCUGGCGGCAGGCCUAACACAUGCAAGUCGAGCGCCCGUAGCAAUACGGGAGCGGCAGACGGGAUAGUAACACGUGGGAACGCGCCCUUCGGUUCGGAAUAACUCAGGGAAACUUGAGCUAAUACCGAAUACGCCCUUACGGGGAAAGAUUUAUUGCCGAAGGAACGGCCCGCGUCCGAUUAGCUAGUUGGUGAGGUAAUGGCUCACCAAGGCUACGAUCGGUAGCUGGUCUGAGAGGAUGACCAGCAUCACUGGGACUGAGACACGGCCCAGACUCCUACGGGAGGCAGCAGUGGGGAAUAUUGCGCAAUGGGCGAAAGCCUGACGCAGCGACGCCGCGUGAGGGAUGAAGGCCUUCGGGUUGUAAACCUCUUUCAGCAGGGACGAAGCGAAAGUGACGGUACCUGCAGAAGAAGCACCGGCUAACUACGUGCCAGCAGCCGC
rnacentral:rRNA from 1 species